ACAUUUACAAAGGGGAGCCUGUAAACAGGCUGAGAGUAGCACGUCCGAGUGCCUGACCCUUGAACCUGAUUUGGGUAAUGCCAACGUAGGGACAUAUCUGACCGAUAACG
rnacentral:ncRNA from 2 species